GAUGAACGCUAGCGGCAGGCCUAACACAUGCAAGUCGAGGGGCAGCGGGUGUAGCAAUACAUGCCGGCGACCGGCGCACGGGUGAGUAACGCGUAUGCAACCUACCUUAAACUGGGGGAUAGCCCCGAGAAAUCGGGAUUAAUACCCCAUAAGAUUGUAGAAGGACAUCCUUCAGCAAUUAAAACUCCGGUGGUUUAAGAUGGGCAUGCGUGCCAUUAGCUAGUUGGCGGGGUAAUAGCCCACCAAGGCUACGAUGGCUAGGGGGUCUGAGAGGAUGAUCCCCCACACUGGUACUGAGACACGGACCAGACUCCUACGGGAGGCAGCAGUGAGGAAUAUUGGGCAAUAGGGGCAACCCUGACCCAGCCAUGCCGCGUGAAGGAUGAAUGCCCUAUGGGUUGUAAACUUCUUUUGUACGGGACGAAUCCCCUUACGUGUAGAGGGUUGACGGUACUGUACGAAUAAGCAUCGGCUAACUCCGUGCCAGCAGCCGCCGUAACAC
rnacentral:rRNA from 1 species